rnacentral:rRNA from 1 species
GACGUAGGGCGCGAGCGUUGUCCGGAUUUAUUGGGCGUAAAGAGCUCGUAGGCGGCUUGUCGCGUCGACUGUGAAAACCCGCGGCUCAACUGCGGGCCUGCAGCCGAUACGGGCAGGCUAGAGUUCGGUAGGGGAGACUGGAAUUCCUGGUGUAGCGGUGAAAUGCGCAGAUAUCAGGAGGAACACCGGUGGCGAAGGCGGCAUCCUGGACCAAUAUUGACGCUGAGGAGCGAAAGCCAGGGGAGCAAACGGG